rnacentral:rRNA from 1 species
ACGAACGCUGGCGGCGUGCUUAACACAUGCAAGUCGAACGGAAAGGCCCCUUUGGGGGUACUCGAGUGGCGAACGGGUGAGUAACACGUGAGUAACCUGCCCUUGACUUCGGGAUAACUUCAGGAAACUGGGGCUAAUACCGGAUAGGAAUCCUUGCUGCAUGGUGGGGGUUGGAAAGCUUCGGCGGUUUUGGAUGGACUCGCGGCUUAUCAGCUUGUUGGUGGGGUAGUGGCUUACCAAGGCUUUGACGGGUAGCCGGCCUGAGAGGGCGACCGGCCACAUUGGGACUGAGAUACGGCCCAGACUCCUACGGGAGGCAGCAGUGGGGAAUAUUGCACAAGGGGCGGAAGCCUGAUGCAGCAACGCCGCGGGCGGGAUGACGGCCUUCGGGUUGUAAACCGCUUUCAGCAGGGGCGAAGCUUGUGGUGACGGUACCUGCAGAAGAAGCACCGGCUAACUACGUG